rnacentral:rRNA from 1 species
AGCAUAUUAAUAAGCGGAGGAAAAGAAACUAACAAGGAUUCCCUUAGUAACGGCGAGCGAAAAGGGAUAAGCCCAGCGCUGAAUCUUGUGUCCCCCGGAUGCAAAGACAUGUGGCGUUUGGGACGAGACAUUGCCUGUGCAGAAUGGUUAACUAAGUCCCUCUUGAACGGGGCCAUUGCCCAUGGAGGGUGCUAGGCCCGUAUGUUAACAAUAUUGUGCAGUGCGUCUCGUCCGUAGAGUCGGGUUGCUUGGGAGUGCAGCCCAAAUACGGUGGUAAACUCCAUCUAAGGCUAAAUAUGACCACGAGACCGAUAGCGAACAAGUACCGUGAGGGAAAGUUGAAAAGAACUUUGAAGAGAGAGUUCAAUAGUACGUGAAACCUCUCGGGGGUAAGCGGGCAGAACUUGCAAGUAUUGACAGGAAUAUUCAGGCUUAAUGUUUGGUGACUGAGGGUGCUCAUUAAGUUGCUCUUUCGGGGGUUGGCUGAUGUGUACUCUUUGCUUCAUUAACGAUGCGCCGCAUUUAUUUCUGUCAUCGGGUUGCAUGUGACUGAGAUUGGUAGUUUAGGUGCUGGGAAUCUGCGAAGCCUUGUUGUUUCGAGUCCUGGUUUCCAACUACUACUGCGGUCAUUUCACUUAUGAGCAGGCGUUUAGGCGCGGUCAAAAGUUUGUACGAGUUGUGUACGUAUGAUAUGUGGACGGGUAACCGUAGCAUGUUGUACGAGGCUGAUUGUCGGUAUGAGCUAUUUGGCACUGUUCAGUGGAUUGCAAUCU